UGGUGGGUUGCCUUGUCAGGUUGAUUCCGGUAACAACGAGACCUCAGCCUGCUAACUAGUCACGCCUUCUCCGGAAGGCGGCGGACUUCUUAGAGGGACUAUUGGCGAUUAGCCAAUGGAAGCAUGAGGCAAUAACA
rnacentral:rRNA from 1 species